UAUUAAUCAACUCAGGAGAAAACAGGGAGAGAGACUUUUGAAAGUGAACAGCGAAUGGGGCUUCCAAAGAGCACGGAGGAACAGAAGAAUAAAGUUGCUGAACAUCAAGACAUUUGUCGUAAACAUCUACAAAUAACUGGCUUUGAUCUAAGUCUCAGGAGAAUGUGGAUAAGCACAUGGAUAAGAAUCCAGUUUACUGAAGUUAAGAAUGAGAGACUAUGAACUCUACUGUUAUGUCACUGACCCACUUCUCCCAUGUGCUCUAUAAUUGCCUAUCAGUGAAUAAGCUGUCUGAACAAUUAGUGUUUCCGCAAAAACUUAAACCACUUUGGCAGUUGUGCGAAAACUACAAUACAGUGUCAGUCUCAUUAAAUUAGUAAGAAUUCAAAACUAAUUGCCUUGUUGUCAAAUGUCAGAACUGUUGUACAUUCAAAUCAGUCUGUAAAGGUUUCAUUUCCCA